rnacentral:lncRNA from 1 species
AAAAUGAAGAAAAAACACUUAUAAUCCGAUAAUGUCAAGUAGAAAAACGAAAAAUCCCUAGAAAUAUAUCCAGGAAGAUGACAAACGUCACAAUUCAACCCGUGGACGAUGCUCAGUACUUGUAAUCCUUCACGUGAAGGCUCUCAGCUGCUCCAUCACCAAGCUUAGCGUCACCCUUGUAGGUUCCGAGUGUGGCUUCAGAGUUAGCCUUGCACCUCACAUACAACGCCUCUUGAGCUGCCUUGACAUUCUCCUCUUUACCUGCCCAUGUCUUCAAGGUAGACUGCUGCAACGCACGUCCGAAUGAGAAAGACAAUGACCAUGGCUUCUUGGUCUUCAACUGGUUCAUGGCGUUCAAGUUCCUGGUAGCUUCUUCCUCGCUCUGUCCUCCAGAUAAGAAGACAAUGGCUGGAACAGCUGCUGGGACGGUUCUCUGAAGGGCACGGACGGUGUGCUCAGCGAUGACUUCAGGUGAAACCUUGGGGCUGUCAGAUCCGGGAGUAACCAUGUUAGGCUUCAAGAGUGUACCCUCGAGCAAGACGUGGUGGUCGCUAAGAGCCUUGUAGCA